AAGCCUACAGCACCCGGUAUUCCCAGGAGGUCUCCCAUCCAAGUACUAACCAGGCCCGACCCUGCUUAGCUUCCGAGAUCAGACGAGAUCGGGCGUUACCAGGGUGGGAUGGCCGUAGGC
rnacentral:rRNA from 1 species